AGAAAUAACAAUACAAGGCAGUUAAAAUGCUUUGUAAUUGGAAUGAUAGAAAUUUAAACCCUUUUUAAAGUAUCAAUUGGAGGGCAAGUCUGGUGCCAGCAGCCGCGGUAAUUCCAGCUCCAAUAGCGUAUAUUAAAAUUGUUGCAGUUAAAAAGCUCGUAGUUGAAGUUCUGCUAAAAGUAACCGGUCUGCUUUUAAUAAAAGUGGUAUCUUGGUGUGUAUUUAGCAAUGAUGUCCUUUGAAGUGUUUUUUACUUUAUUGUAAUAAAGCAUAUUCAGGACUUUUACUUUGAGAAAAUUAGAGUGUUUCUAGCAGGCUGACGCUUUGAAUACUGCAGCAUGGAAUAAUAAGAUAGGAUUUUAGUUCUACAUUAUUGGUUUUAAGAGCUAAAUUAAUGAUUGAUAGGGACAGUUGGGGGCAUUUGUAUUUAACUGUCAGAGGUGAAAUUCUUAGAUUUGUUAAAGACAAAC
rnacentral:rRNA from 1 species